rnacentral:rRNA from 1 species
GAUUAGAUACCCUGGUAGUCCACGCCGUAAACGAUGUCGACUUGGAGGUUGUUCCCUUGAGGAGUGGCUUCCGGAGCUAACGCGUUAAGUCGACCGCCUGGGGAGUACGGCCGCAAGGUUAAAACUCAAAUGAAUUGACGGGGGCCCGCACAAGCGGUGGAGCAUGUGGUUUAAUUCGAUGCAACGCGAAGAACCUUACCUACUCUUGACAUCCACGGAAUUCGGCAGAGAUGCCUUAGUGCCUUCGGGAACCGUGAGACAGGUGCUGCAUGGCUGUCGUCAGCUCGUGUUGUGAAAUGUUGGGUUAAGUCCCGCAACGAGCGCAACCCUUAUCCUUUGUUGCCAGCGAUUCGGUCGGGAACUCAAAGGAGACUGCCGGUGAUAAACCGGAGGAAGGUGGGGAUGACGUCAAGUCAUCAUGGCCCUUACGAGUAGGGCUACACACGUGCUACAAUGGCGCAUACAAAGAGAAGCGACCUCGCGAGAGCAAGCGGACCUCACAAAGUGCGUCGUAGUCCGGAUCGGAGUCUGCAACUCGACUCCGUGAAGUCGGAAUCGCUAGUAAUCGUGGAUCAGAAUGCCACGGUGAAUACGUUCCCGGGCCUUGUACACACCGCCCGUCACACCAUGGGAGUGGGUUGCAAAAGAAGUAGGUAGCUUAACCUUCGGGAGGGCGCUUACCACUUUGUGAUUCAUGACUGGGGUGAAGUCGUAACAAGG